GCAGUAUUCAGGGAGGAAAGGAGCCAAUGCUGCUGACACCAGGAAGUUGCUGAACUCAUGGAGAGAGGAAGCUUUGCCAACUGCAUUUCCCUGAGUGUCUGGUUGAGUUCUAGAGAGGGAUCCAGAGUCAAUUCCCAGCACCACGUGGCAGCUCACAAUGCUCUGCAGUUUGGGUUCCCAAAACUGUGACACCCUAUUGGGACUUCUUUGGAUGCCAGGCAAGCAUGUGGUGUAUAUAUUUAUAC
rnacentral:lncRNA from 1 species